rnacentral:rRNA from 1 species
AACAGGAUUAGAUACCCUGGUAGUCCAUGCCGUAAACGUUGGGCACUAGGUGUGGGGCGGGUUCCACUCGUUCUGUGCCGUAGCUAACGCAUUAAGUGCCCCGCCUGGGGAGUACGGCCGCAAGGCUAAAACUCAAAGGAAUUGACGGGGGCCCGCACAAGCGGCGGAGCAUGCGGAUUAAUUCGAUGCAACGCGAAGAACCUUACCAAGGCUUGACAUGUACGAGAACGCGUUAGAGAUAACGAACUCUUUGGACACUCGUACACAGGUGGUGCAUGGUUGUCGUCAGCUCGUGUCGUGAGAUGUUGGGUUAAGUCCCGCAACGAGCGCAACCCUUAUCCUAUGUUGCCAGCGGGUUAUGCCGGGGACUCAUGGGAGACUGCCGGGGUCAACUCGGAGGAAGGUGGGGAUGACGUCAAAUCAUCAUGCCCCUUAUGUCUUGGGCUUCACGCAUGCUACAAUGGCCGGUACAGGGGGCUGCGAUACCGUGAGGUGGAGCGAAUCCCAAAAAGCCGGUCUCAGUUCGGAUCGGGGUCUGCAACUCGACCCCGUGAAGUCGGAGUCGCUAGUAAUCGCAGAUCAGCAACGCUGCGGUGAAUACGUUCCCGGGCCUUGUACACACCGCCCGUCAAGUCACGAAAGUUGGUAACACCCGAAGCUCACGGCCCAACCCGUAAGGGAGGGAGUGGUCGAAGGUGGGACUGGCGAUUGGGACUAAGUCGUAACAAGGUAACC